GGAAGAUGCUGCUAAAUGGAUGGCAACUGGUCUCGAAAGCCAGGGUACGGGCGACCGUAGGGGUUCGAUUCCUCCAUCUUCCGCCA
rnacentral:tRNA from 1 species